AUACGUAGGGUGCAAGCGUUAAUCGGAAUUACUGGGCGUAAAGCGUGCGCAGGCGGUUUUGUAAGACAGUGGUGAAAUCCCCGGGCUCAACCUGGGAACUGCCAUUGUGACUGCAAGGCUGGAGUGCGGCAGAGGGGGAUGGAAUUCCGCGUGUAGCAGUGAAAUGCGUAGAAAAGCGGAGGAACACCGAUGGCGAAGGCAAUCCCCUGGGCCUGCACUGACGCUCAUGCACGAAAGCGUGGGGAGCAAACAGGAUUAGAUACCCUGGUAGUCCACGCCCUAAACGAUGUCAACUGGUUGUUGGGGAUUUAUUUUCUCAGUAACGAAGCUAACGCGUGAAGUUGACCGCCUGGGGAGUACGGCCGCAAGGUUAAAACUCAAAUGAAUUGACGGGG
rnacentral:rRNA from 1 species